UAUAUUUGACAAUGGGGGCAACCCUGAUCCAUCCAUGCCGUGUGUGUGAAGAUGGUCUUCGGAUUGUAAAGCACUUUUAGUUGGUAGGAAUGGCUUUAGUCUAAUACUCUGACGUCUUUACGUUACCAACAGUAUAAGCACCGGCUAACUCUGUGCCAUCAGCCGCGGUAAUACAGCGGGUGCAAGCGUUAAUCGGAAUUACUGUGCGUAAAGCGCGCGUAGGUGGUUCAGUAAGAUGGGUGUGAAAUCCCCGGGCUUAACCAGGGAACUGCUUUCAUAACUGCCGAGCUAGAGUACGGUAGAGGGUAGUGGAAUUUCCUGUGUAGCGGUGAAAUGCGUAGAUAUAGGAAGGAACACCAGUGGCGAAGGCGACUACCUGGACUGAUACUGACACUGAGGUGCGAAAGCGUGGGGAGCAAACA
rnacentral:rRNA from 1 species